UGGGGAAUAUUGCACAAUGGGCGCAAGCCUGAUGCAGCCAUGCCGCGUGUAUGAAGAAGGCCUUCGGGUUGAAAGUACUUUCAGCGGGGAGGAAGGCGAUAAGGUUAAUAACCUUGGUUCGAUUUGACGUUACCCGCAGAAGAAGCACCGGCUACUCCGUGCCAGCAGCCGCGGUAAUACGGAGGGUGCAAGCGUUAAUCGGAAUUACUGGGCGUAAAGCGCACGCAGGCGGUCUGUCAAGUCGGAUGUGAAAUCCCCGGGCUCAACCUGGGAACUGCAUUCGAAACUGGCAGGCUGGAGUCUUGUAGAGGGGGUAGAAUUCCAGGUGUAGCGGUGAAAUUGCGUAGAGAUCUGGAGGAAUACCGGUGGCGAAGGCGGCCCCCUGGACAAAGACUGACGCUCAGGUGCGAAAGCGUGGGAGCAAAACA
rnacentral:rRNA from 1 species